rnacentral:piRNA from 1 species
UNCAUAAAGGACCUGCUGAUAGCAUGCA